rnacentral:rRNA from 1 species
GAUGAACGCUGGCGGCGUGCCUAAUACAUGCAAGUCGAGCGAACGGACGAGAAGCUUGCUUCUCUGAUGUUAGCGGCGGACGGGUGAGUAACACGUGGAUAACCUACCUAUAAGACUGGGAUAACUUCGGGAAACCGGAGCUAAUACCGGAUGAUAUUUUGAACCGCAUGGUUCAAAAGUGAAAGACGGUCUUGCUGUCACUUAUAGAUGGAUCCGCGCUGCAUUAGCUAGUUGGUAAGGUAACGGCUUACCAAGGCAACGAUGCAUAGCCGACCUGAGAGGGUGAUCGGCCACACUGGAACUGAGACACGGCCAGACUCCUACGGGAGGCAGCAGUAGGGAAUCUUCCGCAAUGGGCGAAAGCCUGACGGAGCAACGCCGCGUGAGUGAUGAAGGUCUUCGGAUCGUAAAACUCUGUUAUUAGGGAAGAACAUAUGUGUAAGUAACUGUGCACAUCUUGACGGUACCUAAUCAGAAAGCCACGGCUAACUACGUG